rnacentral:rRNA from 1 species
AUUGAACGCUGGCGGCAGGCCUAACACAUGCAAGUCGAACGGUAGCACAGAGAGCUUGCUCUCGGGUGACGAGUGGCGGACGGGUGAGUAAUGUCUGGGAAACUGCCCGAUGGAGGGGAUAACUACUGGAAACGGUAGCUAAUACCGCAUAACGUCGCAAGACCAAAGAGGGGGGACCUUCGGGCCGUCUUCGCCACUCGGAUGUCGCCCAGAGUGGGUAGUUAGUCUUGUUAGGG